UGUUGUCAUGUGCUGCCCCUCCAACUCGUCUCUUAAACAGAAGCCACAUGUGCACGUCGGCUGGUUACGGGCACCGCGGGGCUGUGGCAGCAGGGCGGGUCGUGUGGCUGUGUGAGGACACGGAGGCAGGCGGCAGAGCACGGGGAGCUGCCAUGGCUGGGCUCCA